rnacentral:rRNA from 1 species
ACUAGCCUUGUCUCCGAAGCAUCUGGUGUUAAGAGUUUGAUCAUGGCUCACAUUGAACUUAUAGGCGGCAGUGCCUAACACAUGCAAGUCGAGCGGUAACACAGGGAAGCUUGCUCCUGGGUGACGAGCGGCGUGACGGGUGAGUAAUGUCUGGGAAACUGCCUGAUGGAGGGGGAUAACUACUGGAAACGGUAGCUAAUACCGCAUAACGUCUUCGGACCAAAGUGGGGGACCUUCGGGCCUCAUGCCAUCAGAUGUGCCCAGAUGGGAUUAGCUAGUAGGUGGGGUAACGGCUCACCUAGUGCGACGAUCCCUAGCUGGUCUGAGAGGAUGACCAGCCACACUGGAACUGAGACACGGUCCAGACUCCUACGGGAGGCAGCAGUGGGGAAUAUUGCACAAUGGGCGCAAGCCUGAUGCAGCCAUGCCGCGUGUAUGAAGAAGGCCUUCGGGUUGUAAAGUACUUUCAGCGAGGAGGAAGGCAUUAAGGUUAAUAACCUUGGUGAUUGACUGUUACUCGCAGAAGAAGCACCGGCUAACUCCGUGCCAGCAGCCGCGGUAAUACGGAGGGUGCNAAGCGUUAAUCGGAAUUACUGGGCGUAAAGCGCACGCGAAGAGCGGGUCUUGUCACAGUCUGC